UACAUUUGUUUGAUUUAAUUUCACAAAUUUACAUGAAUCAAUUUUAACAAUAUAAAUUUGAAAUGACCAUGUCUCCAAAAAGCAACGCUUUUGGAAGAGACUCAGAGUUCUAUACUUAACACAAUGUCGGAUACUAGGUACUGUUGUAGCAGUAAUUUUUUCGAUGGUAUCAAAUGAUAAAAGACAUUGGACUGUCACAUUACGACAGUUUACACUGUCAAUUUACAUAGAUUUUGGAUGUACGUAUAGCACUGCUUCAGAAGUUCAGAAGCGUUUUUCGUUAGCAAUGGUUUAGCAUUGUUUUGGGAUAUAAAUUAAAUAACUCUAUGUAUUCUACUUUCUGUACUUCCCAUCUACAACAGUAGUUGCGUUCGCCCUCAGUAUCAG